rnacentral:rRNA from 1 species
GACGAACGCUGGCGGCGUGCCUAAUACAUGCAAGUCGAGCGCAUUUUCGUUCACCGUAGCUUGCUACACCUAAAGAAAGUGAGGGGCGAACGGGGUAGUAACACGUCGUUAACGUGCCCAUUAACUUGGGGUAACAGGUGGUAACACGUGCUAAUACAGCAUAAUUCCAGUUACCGCAUGGAAGGUCGGUGAAACGCGCUUUUGCGGCACGGAUGGAGGGACCCGCGGUGCAUUAGCUGGUUGGGGAUGUAACGGCCUACCAAGGCUGAGAAGCAUAGCCGACCUGGGAGGGUGAUCGGCCAACCUGGGACUUGGACCCGGCUCAGACUCCUAAGGGAGGCAGCAGUAGGGAAUCCUCGGCAAUGGACGCAAGUCUGACCGGGCCACGCCGCGUGAGUGAAGGAGGUUUUCGGAUCGUAAAACUCUGUUGUUAGAGAAGAACAAGGAUGAGAGUGGAAAGUUCAUCCCUUGACGGUAUCUAACCAGAAAGCCACGGCUAACUACGUG